rnacentral:misc_RNA from 1 species
GAUGAAGAACGCAGCGAAAUGCGAUACUUGGUGUGAAUUGCAGAAUCCCGUGAACCAUCGAGUCUUUGAACGCAAGUUGCGCCCGAAGCCAUUAGGCCGAGGGCACGCCUGCCUGGGCGUCACACGUCGUUGCCCCCCCAUCUACUCCUUCGGGAUUGCGGGGGGCGGAUGAUGGCCUCCCGUGCGCCUCGCCGCGCGGUUGGCAUAAAUGCCAAGUCCUCGGCGACGCACGCCACGACAAUCGGUGGUUGCGAAACCUCGGUUGCCCGUCGUGUGCGGUCGUCGCGCAUCGAGGGCUCGAAAAAAUUGCCGAGUUCCGGCUCGACUUUCAACGCGACCCCAGGUCAGGCGGGGUUACCCGCUGAAUUUAAGCAUAUCAAUAAGCGGAGGA